rnacentral:misc_RNA from 1 species
GAAAUGCGAUAAGUAAUGUGAAUUGCAGAAUUCAGUGAAUCAUCGAAUCUUUGAACGCACAUUGCGCCCGCCAGUAUUCUGGCGGGCAUGCCUGUUCGAGCGUCAUUUCAACCAUCAAGCCCCGCGCUUGUGUUGGGGACCUGCGGCUGCCGCAGGCCCUGAAAACCAGUGGCGGGCUCGCUGUCACACCGGGCGUAGUAGAUUUUAUCUCGCUCAGGGCGUGCUACGGGUUCCGGCCGUUAAAAAGCCUUUUUUACCCAAGGUUGACCUCGGAUCAGGUAGGAAGACCCGCUGAACUUAAGC